CACAAGUAGGUGGAGAGGCAGGCAGAGAGAGAGAGAGGGGGAAGCAGGCUCCCCACCAAGCAGGGAGCCCAAUGCGGGGCUCGAUCCCGGGAUGCCGGGAUCAUGACCUGAGCGGAAGGCAGAGGCUUUAACCCACUGAGCUACACAGCAGCCCCUAAGCUUAAUUUUUGUUCUUGAUUUAAAGGUUGCUCAGAUUUCAACCAUUUUCCCUAUGCUCUCCCAGGUGGUGAGGGGGAGAAAUAGCAAACAUGGCUGUGCAUUGGGCCUUGAAGGAUGGAAAGCACUUCCUGAGGAUGGUCACCUGGCAAGACAGGAGCCUCCGUCAGUGAUGGCACUACCAAGACACUGUAUCAGCCCGGGACGGCCUCCCUCCCCUGAUCUUCUUUUAGAUUCUUACUCCCCAGAGGCAAGCACUCAGUUCUGCUUUAUCUUCUGCCAUAUUACAGAAUUAC
rnacentral:lncRNA from 1 species